rnacentral:lncRNA from 1 species
AAUAACUAAAAAUUUAUAAAUGUAUAUAUAUUUAUAAAUGUAUAAUAUAAAUGGUUGUUUACACUUCUUGAUGUAAAAUUUUUUUAUGCCUUUAUUGAUUUAUAUAUAUAUUAUUUUUUAAAAAUUAUAUAUAUUUUUAAUUUCGAAGUAAUAAUUGUAGGGCCCAAUUUAGCCUAGAGCCCAUAAACCAAAAACCAAAUAAGAACAAAACCCUAAAACCUCAACCCAAACCAUAAAUACUCAUUUACAACGCAGCCCAAUUAGCCUACGAACCUAAAACAUUUCAGCAAGGGAAACCCUAACAGCCCCUUUGCGCAGUUUCAGCAAACAGCGUGCCCCCUCACGCACCAGGCACCACCAUCCCGUGACGUGCGUUGAUCCACCACGCCACGUCAGAGACGUGUUCAAUCACGCACCUGCAAACAAACACAAAAAAGGGACAGCAGCAAAAAGUUGUUUUUCUCCCCGCUUUCCGUUCGGCUAUAAAAUUGAAGAGGAUCGAAUGUAAAAAGGGACUUUUUUUUUUCGGUUUUUUACGAAUACAGUAACAGAUAUACACACCAAAAAUCAAUAGAAAAGAUUUUAGGGCAAAAGAAAUCCAAAAGGUGAUUUUAGAUUCAACUGUCCUUGAUUUUACGUUUUCUUUUGAUUCUAUUUCUUUUAUUUUUUCCAUUUGAAUUUUAAAACAUUUGAAAAUAUAAAAAGGGAAAGAUUUAUCUUACGAAUAGGCUGUGGAGUUCCGUUUGCUUCGCUGAAGUCGGAGCUUUGAGGGGGUUUUAUAGUCAAGAAUGUCGGCCCUCGAAACUUGAAUCUGCUGGACGUCGUUUAGGGUGGCAGAUCGGCAUUCAAAGAGAGGGAUUAAAGUCGGCUAAGGGGAAAAAUUAAGAGAGAAAUAAAAAGGGGCUAGGGUUUCUUUUAAAAAAAAUGGCAGGAUGCCAUUCAAUUGUUUUUUUUUUAGUUUUUUAAAUGGCAAACAAAACGGCGCCGUUUGGGAGGGAUGGGAUCCGCGCUUUUGUGCUUUGAAGGGGAAAUUUAUACGGCUGGUCAUCCCCUUUUGCUCCGACUUUCGAUUUGACCCAGUUUGAAUUUCAUUUGUUUUUUAAAAAUUGCCCGUGGAUUUUGCACGUAGAUUCAAUGUGGUCCGCGUUGAAACGUCGCGUUUGGAGGGCUUGGGAUAUUUUCUCUAUCAGUCCUUCCCCUUUACACGCGCGUCUACUUUGAUCCCAGUUCAUGAUUUGUUAUUUCUUUGCAUUUUAUAAUUUGCACCCCAUGUUUCGUUUUGAUUAUAAUUAAAUCCCAAGCCUUUUACAACUCAAAUUACUUUUAGUUUUUUUUUUGUUUUUUAAAUAUUUUAUUUACUUAUUGUAUUAUUCUCAUUGUUAUUAUUUUGUUUUUUGUUUAUUAUUUUACAUCUGUACAUACUUUUCAAUAUUGGAUUGCUAAUUAAUAUUAUCAUUGUUAUUAUUAUUCUUACUAUUAUAUAUUAUUGUUAUUAUUCUUACUAUUAUAUGUUAUUAUUAUCGUUACUAUUAUUUAUAUACAUCAUUAUUAUUACUAUUAUUUUUCACUAUUAUUAUUUUACUAUUAUUUUUAUAUACUAUAGUGGUUCAUUAAUAUUACUAUUAUUUUUCGUUAUUCUUAUUGUUUUUUUUUUUAAAAACCUUUCAUAUAAUGUAGUUUUAAAAUUAUGUAUGAUAUUUAAUUAGAUCAGCUUUAUCUAUUACUAUAUACACAAAAUUUAUAUUAGCUUUAUCUACGUACAUUAUAAAUCUCAUGUUGUUUUAUAUUUGAUUUUCUUAAUAAUUUACUUAUAUACAAUUUAUUUCUUUUAAAGAUCCUAUUUUACCAUAUUUUUUAAAACAUUCUCAUCAAUUAUUAUUUUCUAUAUAUUAUUUUUAUUUUCAUUCAUUUUAUAACCACCCGCAUUUCGAAAAUUCUCUCAAUAUAAGGAAAUAUUUCGUGUUUGGGAGUCCGAGAAAUCGUGCCCUAACGUGCUGGGUUUCAAUUUUUCGUUCAACCGAAUAACUAAAUAUCCUUUUGAAAUUUCACUCAUCUUUUCUUAAGUUAAAAAACAAGGCAAUGUUUCGUGUUUGGAAAUUCGAGGAAUCGUGCCCUAACGUGUUGGGUUUCGAUUUAUGGUUGGUCCAAAUAACCUAAUACCCUUUUAAAAUUUCGUUGCGUGUUUUGGAAAUCAUGAGAUGAUCUCAGUUUUUGAGGGCUUGAAAUAUCGUGUCCUAACGUGCUGGAUAUGGUAUUUUAUUCCUUCAGAAUGAGUGAAUCUUAAAAUCCAGCUCGCGUUGUUCUCACAUUUUUAAAGGGAUCGUUUUUUAAGAGCUAUUCUAAAUUUUCAACAUUAGGACAUUAAUUAAUCGAUUAGGUACCAAUUUUGGGCGUUGCGGGGGUGCUAAUCCUUCCUCGUACGUAAACGACUCCCGAACCUGUUUUCUUGAAUUACGUAGGCCAAAAUCGAUGUUUUAAUAAAAUAAAAUGUUUUACAAGGUGAUCCGAUCACACCUCGAAAAAAGAUCGGUGGCAACUCCAUUUUUGUUUUUAAGUCGAAUCCCAUUUUUUAAAUAAAAAAUGGUAUUGACAGCUUGGCGACUCCACUAGGGACAAAUAAGAGAGUUAAGCCGUAAAAUUGAUUGUUUUCUGUCCUUUUGUUGAAAAUUUAAAAUUUGGUUUUUAACAUAUCAUUCUUUUAUUACAUUUCAUGGGUUUUAUGGUUUUGGUCAUUUUAUUCGUGUUUUGCAUUUUGAGUUUUUUAUGUCUCCUCGCAUUAUCUUACAUGACCAUUGUGGUCGCACCUUUUUCAGUGGGAGUAAGAAACUAUGCCUUCGUGAGGCUUUCACCUCCGCAUGGGCUAGUGGACUGCUUCCGGGAUACAUCUGUACCUAUGUCUUUGUGAGGUUUUCACCUCCGCAUGGCCAUAGGGAAAUUUAUUCCCCUGAACUGAACUCAAUCCACAUGAGCCUGUAAUGGGUGAGGGUUGAGGAAUCUGCUGGUUUAGGUACCCCUUUCUUAGAAACGAGCCACAUAUAGUGAACUCUAAAAGCCAGCCCUAGAUAGAGCUAUGUUGAACCGUAGCGAUUAUUCAGAUAGGUGUUUGAUUGUUUUUUAUUUUCUUUGUUUUUUAUUUUUCGAUACUAACUUGCUGUGUUUUGUUGUGGUUAUGUUUGCAUGUCAUUUCAUAUUAAAGAGGUGUCGAUUUCUGUUCGGUUACUAAAUUAUAAAGUUGGUUAUGGAAAGCGAAUUCCUUGAUAAAGUAGAGGAUAAUACGGCUGCCCGUAUGUGGUCAGAGAAGAUGCAACUUGAGAAAGGGGAUAGCCUAGCAGCGGGCUAUAUAUCAAAGCUUUGUAACUUCACUCGCAUCAAUGUGACCCAAAACAAGUUCUAGGAAUUGAGGGAUAUAUGGGCCCAUUGGGAUGACGAGACUAAGCAGCUGUUCUAUCAGAAUUAUGGUGACUUACCCUACCUGCUCGAUAUCAAGGUGGACAAGUACUUGUUCUGGGAAAUGGCUCAGUUUUGGAACCCGGCAUAUAGUUGUUUCACCUUUGGGAAGGUGGAUUUGGUGCCUACUGUGGAGUAGUAUACAACUUUGCUUCGUUUUCCAAAGGUUCAAGUCAACAAAAUUUAUUCCAAGCUGCUAAUACCCCAGUUUUUAUAAAGAAAUUAAUGAGUAUCACCGGGAUGAGUGAACAGUGGAUUACAGCCCGAAUUCAGCAAAAGGGUGAUGGUAAGUACAUUACUUGGGUGAGUUUGAGGGACUUGAUCGUAGCACAUCCAGAUACAAAGAGGAAAAUUGACAUCUUCGUCUUGAGCAUCUAUGGUUUGGUAAUUUUCCCAAAAGCUUUAAGGCAUAUAGAUGAAGCAGUUGCCGACUUUUUUAAUCGACUUGACAAAUGGGUCACACUAGUAUCGACAAUUCUAGCCAAGACAUUCAAAUCUUUGGGUGCAUGUCGGAGGGCAGGUGAAGGUAGAUUUAUAGGGUGCGCGCAGUUAUUGCUAGCAUGGAUCCACAGUCAUUUUUGGAAAGUGGAUAAGGUUUUCUUAUCGGGUUUUUUCUGAGAAUUACUCCCCAUUAAAGGAGAUAACAGCCACGCCCAGGAAAUAUGACAUAUCAGAAGAGAAUUGGAUUGCGCUCCUCCGAAACCCACAAGAGGAGGACGUUGAGUGGAGAGCUCAUUGGUUGGUUCCUGAUGAGAUCCCCUAUCGGUGUUAGAGUUUUGAUUGGGUACCUUUGCCUGGAAUUUGGGGAGCUGGUUGAUAUGCCCCUUUGCUCGUUUUAAGAUAGUAUAGAUCAAGACAGUUUAUACCGAUGACACAUGGACUAGCCUAGAGUGAGUUCUCGUAUAGGGAAAACAAUUAUAAAAAGAAAGUUCGAGAGCUUUCUGAUGCUUGGAAACAGACACGCCGAAUGAAGGGAUUGGCUGUAGGUUCAAUGACGACUCCGGAAUACAAUAGAUAGUUGAAUAAAAUGGUCAAUGAUAACAUCUCUGGGCUGAGUUUAGAGGGAGUUCGGUCGAUGGAAGAAUACUUGCAAGUAAUCCCUUCCGAGCUAGAAAUCAUCAAACAAGACUUCAAAAAGAGAAAUUCGGAGUUAGGGAAGAAGAUAGAGCAAUUGGAGGAGGAAAAGUUGCAUUUGAGGUUAGACGCCGAUGUCUAGAAACUCAAGCCGAGAAUUUAAUAAAUGGAAAGAGAAAGGUUGAGGAAGACUUGGAUAGUUUGAAGACUGAUUGUAAGAAGUUGCAGAUGUCGAUGAGAACUGCUAGAUUGGGAAAGACAUCAGAGCAGUGGCGACAAGAAGUUCAAGAUGAAAAAGCUAGAGCUAAUCAGUGGCAGAAGAGGUUCCAUGAUUCUCGAGCACGUGAAAAUGCCUUAAAGAAAAGUUUGGUUGAGGGCUAAGAUGAGAAGGAGAUGUGAGUAGAUCGGGUAGCGGAGCUAAAGAAGGCACUGCAUCAGUACCGUGGUCGUAACUCCGACAUUAAAUUAAGAGCCAUCCUGAGCAGGAUCGAGGAUUUGAAAGGGAAGGUAGAAGAACUCGAGUCUGCAUUAUAGAACUGUGAACUUCGAAUCGAAUUCCUUGAGUCGAAUAAUGAGCAGUGAAAGGAACAGCUCCGUCGAUCGCAGGACCAGGUCAGGGAUAGAGAUUAUAUCAUGGGCGAAGCAGUGGCUCAGAUUCGAGAAGUGGCCGAUCAUCUACAAACCUUAGCGGUUCAGACUGAUGUGCUAAGUGUGAAGUAUGAGUUAGAGUCAGAUCGGGGUAGUGAGCUGGCUUGCCUUCUUAAAAAAGUUAAAACUUUGAGCAUUAGGGCAAAGUCGUAUAUAUGAUUUAUUUUAUGUAAAGGAUUUUACUUUCUAAUAAAGUUUUUUGAAUAGAAUUGAAUCAAAAUCGACGUCUCUUUAGUCUUGCAUUCAUCUCAUACAUUUGCAUUACAUCGCAUCAUGUGCAUUAAACUUCAUAAAAUAACCCUAAUUAAUUAGAAAUCGUGUGUAAUACCCCGAAAAUUUUUACAGUAAAAUAUUACCCGUGAUAUAGUAAAAUAAGGAAAUAAAGUGACAAAAAGGGAAAUUUUGAGUUAUGUCAAUAUUGGGAAGUAUUUUAUGAUAUAUUAAUUCAAGAAAGGACUAAAUUGCAAAGAUGAGAAAAGUCUUGUUGCACAAGAGUAAAUACUCAAAAUUUAAGGGGUUGAAGUGUAAAUAUAAAAAAGUUGAAGGACUAAUGAUGCAAAUAUUUUAAGGGUGGAAUAAUCUAGAAACCAAGAAAAAUUGAUGAAUUAGGACCAAAUUGAAUAGGUGAAAAUUUAUGAGAGACUAAAUCAUAAUUUUACCAAAUUAAGUAAUGACUUAAGGAUGGAAUUCUAAAAUAUCAUGAAGGGCAAAAUGGUCAAUUAGUAAGAGAGAGAAUUCUAGAAUGUAAUGAUUAUGUUGAUGAUAUUUUAAAUUAAUAAAUUAGAUAAAUAUUAUUUUAUUAAUAUUUUUAUGAGAUAUUUAUUAUUAUAUUAUUAUUUAUUUAGUAUAAAAGGAAGAAAAGGUGAAGAAUUAUCAUCACCUUUCCUUUCCCAUGCAAGCCAUCGUAAGAGAAGAAGAAGAAAAGAAGUUUUCUUUCUUUACAAUUUAGUUCUUCCACCAAAAAUUUAUUAUUUUCACCUAAAAAUUGAAAGAAUUUCCAUAGCCAUCAAGAGAGAAAGAUAGCAAGGAGAUGAUGGGGAGUAAGAAUAUCAAGUUGGAUUCAAGAAAUAGAAGUUGGAGGAGAGAGAAAAAUCAAGUUAAAGAUUGAAGUCAAUAAGAAAAAGGUAAAAACAUCAAGAUUUCAAUAUAUUUUUAAGUUUAAUAUUAUUGAAAAAGCAUGGAAUUGAUGUUGAUUUAGAGUUUUCUUAUAUAUGGUCUUAUGUUCUUGUCAUGUUAGUGAAGAGAAAAUAAGAGAAAGUGAUGAGAAAUAGCGUAGAAAAAGAAAAUAAGGGUGUUAUAAACAUGAUAAUUAAUAUCUUGCACUAAAAUAGUUCUGGACAGCAGCAGUAGUCUAACUUUGAAAAAUCACCAAAAAUUUUAGAAAUCGAAUUAUAGGAUGAAUAAAAUAUGAAAUUAAAUCUUAUUUAUUCUAGUUUCUUAUAGAAGAAAUUAUGUAAUCAAUGGAAUUUUAAAUCAUCAGAUAUAAUAAAUUUUGCGAGACAAGGUCAGAAUGAUUUCGGGUUCCCCUGUUCUGACUUUGAAAAAUCAUAAAAAAUUGGAAAAAAAUAAUUAUGGGCUUAAAUUUAUAUUUUUAGAAUCUUGAAUGAGUCUAGUUUCAAGAGAAAUAAACAAGAACAUCAUUAUAAUUCUUUACAAGGAGAUAAUUAAUUUUUAGUGAAGAAUGGUCACAGCUGUCAGACAGCAGAAUAGGGGUAAUUUUAAAGAAUAAACUGUACUUAUUUAUUAAACCAAAAAUUAUGAAAAUUUUAUGGUAAGAAUAUAUAUGAGUCUAAUUUCAUGGAAAAUUAUCAGAUAUUAAUUUUGAGUUCUAGAGCUCCAGAUAUAAAUAAUUUAGUGACUAUGACACAGAUGGACAGCUUGAAUAUUCAUAAAAGUAAAUAAUAAAGAUUAUAGAUAAUGUUACUUACAAGUGUGUUAUAUGCAUUAAGGAUGUGGAAUGGAGAGGAAGAGGAGGAAAAUAUAUAUGAAUAUUCAGCUAGUAUGGCUAAUUUGCAUGUUUUAGGCUUAAGGACUAAAUUGAAUAAAAGAAAAUCUUCAGUAGGCAAUUUUGUAAAAAUGUCAAAAUGAGCAAAUUGAAGGGAAUGAAUUUUUUUAUUAUCUAAAUUAAUAAAUUGAAUGAAAUUUUCAAUUUAAGAUCGGGUGAAAAUUGGGAAAAUAGUAAAUUACCAAAAUGUCUCUGAAUCUUGAUAUUUCUGCAAUUUCGCUAGGUAAGUUCGUAUAACUUGAAUUAUAUUCUUAAAUGCUUGAAAUGUAUGUUUUUGAUAUGAAUAUUAUUUGAAUGUUCAUUGUAUGAAAAUUGAUGAAACAUUAACAUAUUUGAUAAAAAGGGGAAGAUAUCUCGGUUGAAUGAAAGGAAAAUUCGAUGGAUCUCUGAGAAGGAAUUGACGGUAAAAAGGAUCUAGCCCUAACGGGUGAUCCUAUCCUAGUAUAACCCUCUCGAAGAAUACGUGUAAAUAGAUUUAGCCCGGAAGGGUAAUUCGAAUUAGGGUCUGAAUUUAGCCUGGACUGGUAAUUCAGAUCCAAGUUUAUUAGAGUAAUUGUCGUUGCAGGGGAUUUAGCCUGGAUUGGUAAUCCAAACAAUACUCUAUGAGCUUAUAUUACAGGGGAUUUAGCCUGGACUGGUAAUCCCACUGUAAGGAUGAGGUUCGCGGGAGUGCUCUCUGAUAUGAAAUGUGUAAGACCAUGGUUGAAAGAUACCAUGACAACCUGAUAUGAAAUGUGUAAGACCAUGGUUGAAAGAUACCAUGGCAACGUGAUAUGAAAUGAAUAAGACCAUGGUUGAAAGAUACCAUGGCAACAUAACGGGAAAUGAAUAAGACCAUGGUUGAAAGAUACCAUGGUAGCGUGACAUGAAAUGAAUAAGACCAUGGUUGAAAGAUACCAUGGCAACAUGACAGAAAAUGAGUAAGACCAUAGUUGAAAGACACUAUGGCAUCAUGUCAAAGAUAAAUAAGACCGUGGAUGGGAGACGCGAUGACAUCUAUUGAACAAUUGAUAUUCAGGUAAUAUGUAUCAGAUGACGAAUGGUUAUAUGAAAUGGUUGUGUGAAUUGUUUACAAGAACUGGUCAUAUGGAAAUAUAUGUACAAAAUAGUUGUAUGAAAUAAUGAUGAAGAUAGAUAAACGAAAUAAGAAUUAAAUACACGGAAUAUAAUUUAUGUUAAGUUUGAUAUAAACUUUAACGGAAUAAAUAUACAUAAAAUAUAUGGAAAUAAUGGAGCAUGAAAUAUUGAUAUAAUGAAAUGAUUGAUAUAUACUUAUGAAGAAUGGUAAGAGAAUGAUAUGUUUCAUGACAUGUACAUAUAUGAUUAUCUUUGAUAUGUUGAUACAAGGAAAUUAUGUAAGUAAAGACAAUUAUUAAACUCAAGUGUGACAUGUCGAGAAAAUAAGUAUAUGAAUGUUGAAUUUAUAUAAAUAUGUGCAAGUAUACUAACAAUGAUGUUGUUUGACGCUUAGACAAGCGUCAAACUAUUGAUUGAAUGGUAACAUUUUUAAUUAUAAGAAGCAUUGAAAUGGUAAGUACUUAGAUGAAAAUAAAAUUUAAAUUGCGAAAAUUUUUUUAUGAUCCUGAUUUAAUUCCGAUUGGCUUUUAAUGUAUGUUUGGGGCUUCGAGGGCCCAAUAGAGAGACGUUAUGAUUAUUUUCAAAAUAUGAAUAAUAAAUGACUCAGAAUUAUCUGAAAAUGUUCAGUAAACUCCGGUAAUGCCUCGUACCUAUUCUGGCAAUGGAUACGAGUAGGGGGUGUUACAUCGUGUUAUAGUUAUCCUGGAACAUCACUACUACACACGGAGAAAAACUAAAGUUAUGGAUCAAAAGUUGGAAAAACUGGAACAAAUGCAGAAAGAGAUGCAGGAGCGGCUGCAAGCACAGAUGCAAGAGCAACUAGCCAAGAUUCAACAAGAUAUGAAAGAUCAGAUGCUAGAAUCGCAGAAGAACAUGAUGAAUCAGCUAACUCAGUUACUGCUCGGAGGGCUAGGAAAAGGGAAGAGCCCUAUGGUCAACCAUGGGGAUGUCAAUGAGGACCUUGUCUACCCACCGGGUUUUGCCCCAGCAAAUACCCUAAUGCGGCCCAACGCAUAUCCACCUAGGGUGUCUGUCAAUAUCUGUCCACAGCAUCAAGCCAGUAUCUCGGCAUUAAUGCACUUCCCGAUAGGUUCAGGCACCGGAGACAAUCCGACAAAUCCUGGUGUCCUUGAUCUGGAUAACAUGGCAGAAGUAGAAAGGGCAAAAUGAGAAUUUCCAAAGUAGCUGGAAGACCGAUACAAAUGGCUGGAAGAGAAGUUCAAGGCACUGGAAAAUGCUGAUUAUCAGUGUAGUAUGGUUGCUAAAGAGUUGAGUUUGGUUUCGAAUCUAUUGCUCCCUCCAAAGUUUAAAAUGCUGGAGCUUGAGAAUACAAUGGAACCAGCUACCCUGAGGCCCACAUCAUGAUGUUUUGUCAGAGGAUGACUAGUAAUGUCAACAAUUAUCAGUUAUUAGUUCACUGCUUCUAGGAUAGUUUAACUGGGGUUGCGACCAAAUGGUACAAUUAGCUGAAUCGCACCCAAAUCAAAUCAUGGAGGGACUUAACAUAAGCCUUCAUGAAGCAGUAUAGUCAUGUGACAGAAAUAGCACUUGACAGGAUCACAUUACAGAAUAUGGAGAAAAGGUCGAGUGAAAGUUUCAGGCAAUAUGCCCAGAGGUAGAGGGAAGUUGCUACACAAGUCCAACCACUACUGCUGAAAAAAGAAACAACUAUGCUCUUCAUUAAUACUUUGAAAACACCUUUCAUUAAUCACAAGCUGGGCAGCGCAACUAAAAGUUUCACGGACAUAAUGAUGUCUGGUGAAAUGAUAGAGAAUGCAAUAAGGUGCGGGAAGAUAGAGGCUGGGGAAAGCACCAGGAAGUCAGCCCCGAAGAAGAGAGAAAAUGACGUCAGUAAUGUGAACAUGGGUUAUGUAAAACCAGACACGGUUAAUCAAUCGAGAAUGAUGGCUACGGGCUAACAAGCCUCACCAAGACAGAAGCCCAAUACCAAACAAAGCACGGAGAAGCUUCAGUUUAUUCCCAUUCCAAUAACGUGUCAAGAGCUGUACAAUAGCCUAUUUGAUGCGCACGUUGUAGCCCUUUUCUACUUAAAACUGUUGCAACCUCCAUAUCCCAAAUGGUACGAUGUAAUUACUCAAUGUGAAUACCAUGUGGGAACAGUGAGACACUCGAUAGAGAACUACCUCUUUUUCAAAAGGUUAGUCGAAAGGCUCAUCAAUAUGGGCGUUGUGAAGUUCGACGAGGCACCUGGUGUAGGAAAUCUGUUACCCAAUCAUACUAAUAAUAAGGUGAACGCAAUAAUUGACAAUGCGGGGAAAAUAAUCAAGUUGAGUGUUACAGAAGUAAGACCCCUGUUGAAAGAGGUCUGGAGAAGAAUGGUGGAAAGAUGUCUAAUACAAGACGUGGGGAGCAAACCUCGAGAAGCGAGGAACUAUUGUGAGUUCCACGAUGAUGAGAACUAUGAGAUUCAGAGAUACAGUGAAUUCAGGGCCCUGGUGCAGGGUCUAAUGGACAAUAAUGAGCUAGAGUUCUUUAAGUUCGUUGAAGGAGAGGACGUGCGCACCGCAGGAGGAGAGUCAGUAGAGAAGGUCACUGAGGUCAAUCAGCCGAUGGUGAUCAUCUCACAACCAAGAAUCAACGAAGCCGGAGCAAAAAUUACACUGAAAGUUGUAAUUCAGAAAACCGCAGCUUUUCCUUAUAAGGAUAGCAAAAGGGUACCUUGAAAUUAUAACUGUAAUGUGACAUAUUUGAGAAAGGAAAGUCUGGUCAGCAUGCCAAAUACGAAAAUUAAGCCCAACAAAGGGAAGUCCCUGAUGAUUCAACAAGGGGAAGAAAGGUCAGAGCCAUUGGUUAAUGAACCGGUAACUGAUAAUAAAGCCAAAGAUUUUUAAAAUUCCUCAAACAUAGUGAGUAUAGUGUUGUAGAGCUGCAUAAGCAACCGACACACACAUCAGUUUUGACUUUACUUUUAAACUCGCCGAUACACCGUAACGCGCUGAUAAAGGUUUUGAAUGAAACCUUUGUCGCUGAAGACAUUUCGGUGAACAAGCUAGACCGUCUUGUCAGCAACAUAAGUGUCGAUAACUUCAUUUUAUUAAGCGACAAUGAGAUACCACCAAGGGGCAUAGGGUCCUCCAAGGCUCUGUACAUCACUACCCGGUGCAAAGGGUAUACACUACCGGGGGUAUUAUUUGACAAUGGGUCGGCACUGAAUGUCUUGGCCUUGUCCACAUUGAACAAGAUACCUAUAGAUAGCUCUCAUAUGAAGACAUGCCAGAACAUAGUGAGAGUAUUUGAUGGCACCGAAAGGAAAGUAAUGGGAAGGAUUGAGAUUUCCCUUUUGAUCAGACCCAAUACAUACGAGGUAGACUUCCUCGUGAUGGAUAUCAAGCCCUCUUAUAAUUGUUUAUUGGUGAGGCCCUAGAUUCACUCAGUAGGAGCAGUACCAUCAUCAUUGCACCAAAAGUUAAAGUUGGUGACGGAAGGUCGGCUGAUAACCCUAAAUGCAGAGGAGGACAUUAUCGUAUUCGUUACUAGUGAUGCGCCAUACAUAGAGAAUCUGAGGCAAUAAAGUGUUCCUUUCGGUCGUUAGAGUUCGUGAAUGCAAACUUUCGUCAUCGAAUGAGACAAGGUCCGAAUGCCAAAAAUAUCAGAAGCCACGAUGAUGAGCCUACGACUGAUGGUAAGAAAAGGAGCAUUGACUCGAAGGGGACUCAAAAAAUACCUCCAUGGACAGGUCGAAGUACCGGGCUUGGCUGACACGCGGGAUCGUUUUGGCUUGGAGCAUAAUCUAAACGCCAAACAGAAGAAGGAAGAGCUAGAAAGAAAGCAGGAGAGACGAAGGGCACGAUUGAGUGGGGCUGAGGUCAAAUAGGAAUUAAUGACUUUUCUCUAUAUAUCCAAUACAUUUGUAUUAAGGGGAAUACUCCAUCUUGAAUUGAAGAUGACAAGUGAAGGAAUAGCUGAAGAUAUGAUAGAAAAUUUGAGCAUCAACGCCAUUUCUGAGGAGAGAAAGAUGGAAGGAAACGUAUUGGGCAUUCACCCCUACGUGCUAGGAAGUGUUCUGAACAACUAAACUGCGGAGGAAAUUCUUGUAUUUUUUAGAGCUAAUAUAGAGUAAUGUUCAAAACACACUUGUUGUUUUAAGAUUAGAAACAAUAAGAAUCUUUUGUGAAAAAGCUAAUGUUCAAACAUCUUUAUUUUCAAUAAGAAAUGCAUUUUUGAGUCUCAUGCCGGGCGAAUAUUCUUUUGUUCUCUCAUUUCAUUCAUAACCAUGUCAUACAAAUAAGCCACUCUUAGAUUCAUUCUUUGGAUAUUCUUUCAUGCCUACAAUAAGUCUCCAGAUAUCAAUGAUACGAGCGACGCUGCUACGGACCCAGAGUCCCCUUUUGAGCGAGAUAGGUGCUUAGAGGAAUCUCAGGAUUUUGAAGAUGAUCAAGACUGUAGGUUAUCUCUAGAUUUGUUAAGAAUGGUAGAAUAGAAAGAGAAACAGAUUCUUCCUCAUAAAGAGACAAUCGAGAAUAUAAUUUUGGAGGACGGGAAAGAGGUGAAAAUUGAAACUUGCAUAACCGAGGAAACAAGGCAAGAUCUCAUUAAACUAUUGCAGUAGUUCAAAGAUGUCUUUGCAUGGUCGUAUCAAGACAUGCCUGGUUUAAGUGCUAAUAUUGCAGUACACCGUGUCCCCAUAAAGGAGGAAUACAAGCCAGUUCAACAGAAGCUCCGAAGAAUGAGACCCGAUGUUGCAGUAAAAAUAAGAGAAGAGAUUAAGAAGAAAUUUGAUGCAGGUUUCUUAUAAGUGGCGAAUUACUCGGAAUGGGUAGCCAAUUUCGUCCCCGUCCCUAAGAAAGAUGGAAAAGUGCGGAUGUAUGUAGAUUAUAGAGACCUAAACAAGGCCAGCCCAAAGGACAACUUCCCGCUGCCUUAUAUCGACACUCUGGUGGAUAAUACGGCAGGUUACUCACUGUUCUUUAUCAUGGAUGGCUUUUCUGGAUACAAUCAGAUAAAGAUGCAUCCUCUAGACAUGAAAAAGACCACCUUCAUAACCUUGUGAGGAAUAUUCUGUUAUAGGGUAAUGCCAUUCGAGUUAAAAAAUGCGGGAUCAACGUAUCAAAGAGCCAUGGUAACCUUGUUUCACAACAUGAUGUACAAGGAAAUUGAGGUUUACGUUAAUGAUAUGAUCGCAAAAUCUCGAACUGAAAAAGAGCACAUACAGGUUUUGAGGAAAUUGUUCUUAAGGCUGAGAAAAUUCCAGCUAAAGCUCAAUCCAACAAAAUGUACUUUCGAGGCUAGAUCAGAAAAGCUACUCGGUUUUAUUGUCAGUGAAAAAGGAAUCGAGGUCGACCCUGACAAAGUCAAGGCUAUACAAUAAUUGCCUCUGCCACGCACUCAGAAGGAAGUUCGAGGUUUUCUGGGAAGACUAAAUUAUAUCGCUCGGUUUAUUUCGCAACUAACUGAGAAAUGUGACCCCAUAUUUCAUCUUCUCAAGAAACACAACCUAGGUUUGUGGGAUGAUGAGUGCCAGGAGACCUUUGACAGGGUUAAACAAUAUUUGUCAAAUCCCCCAGUAUUAACGCCACCUAGUCCAGGUAGACCAUUGAUACUAUAUUUGACAGUAUUUGAUAAUUCAAUGGGAUGUAUGCUUGGCAAACACUACGAGACAGGAAGAAAAGAAAAUGCGAUAUACUACCUCAGUAAGAAAUUCACUGAGUGCGAGAUGAGAUACUCGCCAAUUGAUAAACUAUGUUGUGCUUUGGUUCAGACAAAUCGGAGAUUGAGGCAGUACAUGUUAUAUUACACGACUUGGCUAAUCUCGAAAUUAGACCCUCUUAAGUACAUGAUAGAUUCAGCCGAUCUGAAUGGAAGGAUGGCCCGAUGGUAAAUCCUGCUCUCCGAAUUCGACAUAAUCUAUGUGAACCAGAAGGCUGUGAAGGGGAGCGCAAUAGCAGACUUUCUAGCCAGUAGAGCUUUAGAAGAUUACGAGCCUUUAAACUUUGACUUCCCUAAUGAAGAUCUGAUGUAUGUGGCAACUACCAAAGAAGACAUUCCAGAAGAUCUUCUUUGGAAAUUAAAUUUUGAUGGAGCAUCGAACGCCGUUGGUAAUGGAAUUGGGACAGUCCUGAUAUCCCUAAGCGGAGAUUAUUAUCCAUUCACUUGCAAAUUAGAUUUUGAUUGCACGAAUAAUAUGACAGAGUAUGAAGCAUGUAUCAUGGGAAUCCCUGCAGCCAUAGAGCGUGACAUUCAGGUGUUGGAGGUAUAUAGGGAUUCCGUACUAGUGAUCUACCAGCUCAAGGGUGAAUAGGAAACAAGAGACCGAAAGUUGGUCAACUAUCGAGAGCUAGUUCAGAUUUAAUCAAGGUGUUUGAUGAUGUCAUUUUUCGUUACCUCCAACGAGAUGAAAAUCAGAUGACUGAUGCAUUAGUUACGCUAGCCUUUAUGAUCAGAGUAAAUAAACGAGAGGAUAUGAAGCUGAUCCAGAUGAGUAUCUGUGAGGCUCCAGCUCAUUGUUACAAUAUCGACAAAGAAGAGGAGGGAGAUAAUUAUCCUUGGUAUCAUGACAUUCUGUGAUAUGUGAAGAAUCGUGAAUACCCUGAUCAAGAAACUGACAAUGAUAAGAAAACGUUGAGGAGGCUGGCUAGUGACUAUGUCUUAGACGGAGAGAUCCUGUAUAAAAGGAGAAAAUAUCAAGUGCUGUUAAGAUGUGUUGACGCUGUUGAAGCCAAGGAAAUUCUGGAGGAAGUCCACGAAGGUGUCUGCGGGACGCAUGCUAAUGGGUUCACAAUGGCCAGACAAAUCAUAAGAUUCGAGUAUUACUGGUUCACGAUGGAAGGAGAUUGCAUCAGUUACGCCAAGAAAUGCCAUAAGUAUCAAAUUUAUAGAGACAAGAUCCAUGUGCUUCCUUCCCCUCUUCAUGUUAUUACUUCUCCGUGGCCUUUCUCAAUGUGGGGCAUGGAUGUCAUUAGGCCGAUUUCGCCAGGGCUUCUAAUGGAUAUCGAUUAAUUUUUUCUGGUUAUUGAUUACUUCACCAAAUGGGUAGAGGCUGCUUCAUACACUAACGUCACAAAGUUGGUAGUCAGGAAAUUCUUGAAGAAGGAAAUCAUAUGUCGAUAUGGCAUGCCGGAAAGGAUCGUAUCUGACAACGCGUUAAAUUGGAAUAACAGCGUGAUAGUGGAGGUUUACAGUCAGUUCAAAAUUAAGCACCACAGCUCAUCACAAUAUCGCCCGAAAAUGAAUAGGGCAGUUGAGGCAGCUAAUAAAAAUAUCAAGAAGAUCGUAGGGAAAAUGACUGUGACCUAAAAGGAUUGGCAUGAAAAGUUACCCUUUACUCUCUUAGCCUAUCGAACAACUGUUAGAACCUCUACCGGGCAACACCUUACUCAUUGGUUUAUGAGAUGAAGGCAGUCUUGCCCAUCGAAGUCGAAAUACCCUCUCUUCGGGUUUUAUCAAAGUUGAGGCUGGACGAAGCAGAAUGGAUCCAGUCUCGGUAUGAUCAGCUGAACUUGAUUGAGGAAAAGAGGUUAAAGGCUAUCCGUCAUGGUCAAAUAUACCAGAAGCGAAUGAUGCGAGCUUACAACAAAAAGGUUCACCCUAGAGUAUUCCACGAGGGGGACUUGGUAUUGAAACAUAUUCUCCCUGUACAAAAGAUUUCAGGGGGAAAUGGAUGCUAAACUAGGAAGGACCCUAUGUGGUAAAGAAGGUUUUUUUCGGGGGAGCGCUGAUAUUAGCAGAAAUGGACGGUACAAACCUUCCUAGCCCAAUAAAUUCGGAUUUGGUCAAUAAGUACUUCACCUGAAAAAGGAGAGGCUAAGGCGAAAACUCGCAAAGGGCUCUUUGAAAAAAAAAGAAAAAGGGAGAGGCUGAGGUGAAAACCCGCAAAGGGCGCCUCGAGACCAAAGGCGUUUUGAAUUAAAAACCCAGAAAAGGCAAUUCAAAUUUCAAUAUGUGAUAGUCUGCUAUGCUUGAAUUAACAAACAGGAAAUAUGAUAUGUCUUGGGGCAUCAACAAAGUACUCAAGAUCUUCUAGGCAUGUGUUAAACUCAAAAUGGUCCUCGGAGAGUCCGUACAGAGAAACUCAGACUGCGAUAUUUGGGGGCACCUAUUUGUUUUCCCCAUCACCUAUUCUUGUAUCCCGAUAAUUUUUGCUCUUUUUGAUUUAUUCGUUCUUUUCAGAUUUUGUUCCUAAUAAAUUUCAGUUUUAUCCAUUUUUAUGAAAAUUUUCAAGCAUUUCAUAUUGAAAUAAUGAUUAAUAAAUGAAUAACACUUUCGUAAAAGGAGUUCUGCGUAUUACUCUGGAAGCUUCUAAAAAUAUGCAAGACUUGAAGUAGGACAAUUAAUUAGAACUCACCAAGCCUAAGGAUUGAAAAUACUUGAAAAUUCCAGAUUUUCUAUCAGUUGAACAAGAAGACAUAUAUCAGUGAUAUAAGCUAGACAAGCAGAAAGCAAUAAUAGCUCAAACGUAAAAAAGGACAUUCUUAUGACAUUCUACAUUCAUACGUAUAUCAUUCAUAGCACAUCUAGCUAGGAGCAUUUGACCCAUUCCGAUCAUAGCAUCCUAGUCAUCAUCAUUAGGCAUAAACAUAGGCUUAUGAAAUCAAUUCUACAGGUAUGUCCCCUAGAGGAUGAUGUAGCAAGUUUGGUUGAAGCAAAAAAUCUCCACUAACCUUAAUCCCCUAAGCAGUAGGGCAACAGGCUGGGAAUUACAGAUCUUAUCUCCCUAAGCAGUAGUGGAGUAGAUCGAAGACGGUGAGCCUUAACCCCCUAAGUAGUAGGGCAAUAGGCUGAAGAUUACAGAUCUUAUCUCCCUAAGCAGUAAUGGAGCAGAUCGAAGACGAUGAGCCUUAACCCCCUAAGUAGUAGGGCAACAGGCUGAAGAUUACAGAUAUUAUCUCCCUAAGCAGUAGUAGAGCAGAUCGAAGACGGUGAGCCUUAACCCCUUAAGUAGUAGGGCAACAGGCUGGAAAUUAUAGAUCUUAUCUCCCUAAUCAAUAGUGGAAUAGAUCGAAGACGGUGAGCCUUAACCCCCUAAAUAGUAGGGCAACAGGCUGGAAAUUACAGAUCUUAUCCCCCUAAGUAGUAGGGCAACAGGCUGGAAAUUACAGAUCUUAUCCCCCUAAGUAGUAGUGGAACAAAUCGAAGACAGUGAGCCUUAACCCCCUAAGUAGUAGGGUAACAGACUGAAUAUUAUAGAUAUUAUCUCCCUAAGCAGUAGUGGAGUAGAUCGAAGACAGUGAGCCUUAACCCCCCAACCAAUAGGGCAACAGGCUGAAGAUUACAGAUCUUAUCUCCCUAAUCAGUAAUGGAGCAGAUCGAAGACAGUGAGCUUUGACCCCCUAAGCAAUAGGGCAACAGGCUGGAAAUUACAGAUCUUAUCUCUCUAAGCAGUAGUGGAGCAGAUCGAAGACAAUAAGCUUUAUCCCCCUAAGCAGUAGGGAAACAAGCUGAAAAUGACAGACCACCUUAUCUCCUUAAGCAGUAGUGGAGCAGAUCGCAGACGGUGAGCCUUAUCCUCCUAAGCAAUAGGGAAACAGGCUGAAGAAUACAAAUCAUGUCUCCCUAAGUAGUAGCGGAGCAAAUUGAAACAAAAAUCCCUAUACUCCUGAAGAUACAAUGGGUUAAGGCGAGGCUACCUGAAGAAAGGAAGCAUCAAGAGGUCAAGACUCAAUAAGACCGAGCAAAAUUGGCCCUUUUAAAAUCUUUGUUCCAUUCUCGUUACACUACAAUGAGCAAAGUGGGGCAGCUGUAGGGCCCAAUUUAGCCCGGAGCCCAUAAACCAAAAACCAAAUAAGAACAAAACCUUAAAACCUCAACCUAAACCCUAAAUACCCAUUUACAAUGUGGCCCAAUUGGCCCACGAACCUAAAACAUUUCAGCAAGAGAAACCCUAACAUCCCCUUUGCGUCAUUUUAGCAAACAGCGUGCCCCCUCGAGUACCAAGCACCACCAUCCCGAGAAAUGCGCUGCUCUACCACGCCACAUCAGAGACGUGCUCGAUCACGCACCUGCAAACAAACACAAAAGAAAGGACAGCAGCAAAAAGUUAUUUUUCCCCCUUUUAGUUCGACUAUAAAACUAAAGAGGAUCGAAUGUAAAAAGGGACUUUUUUUCGAUUUUUUACGAAUACAGUAACAGAUAUACACACCAAAAAUCAAUAGAAAAGAUCUUAGUGCAAAAGAAAUCCAAAAGGUGAUUUUAGAUUCAACUGUCCUUGAUUUUACGUUUUCUUUUGAUUCUAUUUCCUUUAUUUUUUCUAUUUGAAUUUUAAAACAUUUGAAAAUAGAAAAAGGGAAAGAUUUAUCUUACGAAUAGGCUGUGGAGUUCCGUUUGCUUUGCUGAAGUCGGAGCUUUGAGGGGGUUUUAUAGCCAAGAAUGUCGUCCCUCGAAACUUGAAUCUGCUGGAUGCCGUUUAGGAUGGCGGAUCGGCGUUCAAAGAGAGGGAUUAAAGUCGGCUAAGAGGAAAAAUUAAGAGAGAAAUAAAAAGGGGCUAGGGUUUCUUUU